AGUAAACACGGAGCCAAUCCACAUCUGCAUAUCUCCACCCCUCAUUUGCAUACCCACCAGGCCAUGCCUGCAACCCCCUCCCAGGAACUUGGUAGGUCUCAGAAAUCAUGGAAUCCCUGGUGCAUAUAUAACUAUGAAAAAAAAACCCUCCUAAAGUCAUCAUACUGAAGUAAAAAACAUCAGUCCUGGCCUGCUCCAUCAACUACAAAAUGAGCUACAACUGGUGCAGAUGUUACAGCAGCCAACCAACCCCUGAAAAUGACUUUCACGUUCUCUGUUCAAACUGCUUUGGCAAGGUUUUACAGAACUUCAACCUGUACUCCAUGAAAAGGCCAAAACAAACCCUCAGAAUGGUGUCCAGCGUGACUGACUAUGGGGAUUAGUUGGGCAAUGAGGCUUGACCCAGCUUUCAGAGAGUUAUUUUGUCACCUGUCUCAAUCCCUAAAG